GUUACCAUUUCCCCAACCUUUUCACAGUUUUGUGAUAGUCAUGGAUGAUAAAGUUAUGAGGUUAGUGGCAUGAUAAAAAAAUACAAAAAUACCGUUAUUAAAGAGGGGCGAAAGAUACCACAGGGACAGUGAAACUCAUAGAUCGAAAAUAAACUGACAAACAGACACAUAAUAAUAUACAAGACACAACAUAAAAAAAUAAGACUAAGCAACACAUGCCCCAACAAAAAGUGGGGUGAUCUAAGGUGCGCCAGAAGGGUUUGCAGAUCCUUCCCCACAUAUGACACCCGUCAUGUUGCUCAUGAUAUU
rnacentral:lncRNA from 1 species